GACACCACUGAUGUUGGAAGAAUUAAUCAUUCAUAGAUCAACAAUUGGUUCUUUCAUCUCCCUGGCUUUCUCAGACCAAACCAUUAUGUAUUUUUUUCCACCUACUGAUCCUGUUACAGUCUAAUUUUUCAGCUGCAUGUAGCAAAGACAUCUGAAAAACAUUGGUAUUUCCAGAAUGCACCUCAUUGAAAGAAACCAGUGAGGGUACCUAUCUGCUUCUAUGGGCUUCACAACUUUACUACUCUCAAGAACUGACUUAAUAUAAAAUUCUGUACUAAAAUCACAAUCAGAUAAGCUAUGGAAAAAUGUGGAAGGCAAAUUGAAGUGCACCCAAGUCCGUCUUUCUGGCUUUUUACCAACAGCAGCCCAUGUGAACUAAUCCAUGAGAUAGCUGACCUUUUACCAAGUAAAGUUUUAGGACUAAAUACUUCAGCUAAUCAAAAACUAAAUUACAUGUAUACAUUAACUCAACCCAUAUCUUUAGAAUUAAGCUGUAUUCUGGCUAGCCAAAAAGGCAGCACAUUCAGUCACUGCUAAACCAACAAGAAUACAGCUUUUUUAAUAUCACUGCAGAGAAAGAGAAGGAAAGGUGGCAUUCGUGAUUCCAGAGCGCUGCGCCUCAUCACGGCAGUAACAGGGAAGAAAAAGUCACUGGAAGAGAAGGUACAAAUCCGGUGCUUGCCAGAAAACAUCCUUUCAGCCUUGACACAAGUUAUCUGAAGCUCUGUCUGUGCCAACCCCAACCAUUGUGCCGUCAUCAGAGACAUUUGGAGGUUUCUGUGGUACAUUGCAGGGAGCUGUUCACAGGAAACACAUCCAGAUGUAACAAGAAGCAGGGAUUGAACAAGAUAAGAUCUGCACUUGCAAGCAGCCAGAAACCCACGCAUUACCCAUAUGAGGGAAGAUCACCCACACAGCACAGAUCUGCCAUGAGCACUGGGAGGGGAGGAGGCAGUUCAGCCAAGUGUACCAUGGAUGCCCUUGCAUUGUGGAGAAAGGCACAAGCAAUUGGAUUUAACCAGCUGGGUGGAAUUUGAUUUGAUUAGCUUUGGCACAGUUUCACAUACUCUCAAUUCAUCAGUGAAUGGAGUAACUAUAUUGGAAAGCUACUGGGGAAAAACAACAUUGCCCCUGAUGCUGCUGUCACGGGCAGAUAGAGCACAAUCCCAUACAGUCUCGCUCUGUGUUUUUCUCUCUUCAUUGUCUCCCUAGUUAGUUUUUUUGUGCCAGUGUGUGUCUUCCUGUAUCAGGAUUGGCUGCCUUUUCUUGGUCUGAGAUCUUGGCAUGGAAAGGGCAGUAAUUACUCCACGGUAUGACUUGAUGACUAUGAGCAAGGGUGGGAGUGCCCCCUCUUGAACAAUAAAACCCCUUGUAGAGAAAAGCCUAACUAAACAAAACAAAAUAAUGUGUAAACACAGGCAGUGCUGC